AAUGAAGUGCCUGAUAAAAGGGCUACUUUGAUAGAGUAGAUCAUGUAAUUUCUUACCUUCAUUA
rnacentral:tRNA from 1 species